rnacentral:rRNA from 1 species
GACGAACGCUGGCGGCGUGCUUAAUACAUGCAAGUCAACUUGACUCUAGAUAGCAAUAUCGAAAAGUAGGGUGGCGCACGGGUGCGUAACGCGUAGGUAAUCUGCCCUAAGGCCUGACAUAACUUACCGAAAGGUAAGCUAAUAUCAGAUGAUGCAAAAACACGACAUCGUGUAUUUGUCAAAUCUUCGGAACCUUGGGAUGAGCCUGCGUCUGAUUAGGUAGUGGCGGAGUAAUAGCCCACCAAGCCUACGAUCAGUAGCUGGUCUGAGAGGAUGAUCAGCCACACUGGAACUGAGACACGGUCCAGACUCCUACGGGAGGCAGCAGUAAGGAUAUUGCUCAAUGGGGAAACCUGAAGCAGCAACGCCGCGUGAAGGAUGAAAUACCUUU